UACGUAGGCAGCGAGCGUUGUUCGGAAUUACUGGGCGUAAAGAGUGUGUAGGCGGUGCUCUAAGUUCGGUGUGAAAUCUCCCGGCUUAACUGGGAGGGUGCGCCGGAAACUGGAGUGCUCGAGCGUGGGAGAGGAAAGCGGAAUUCCUGGUGUAGCGGUGAAAUGCGUAGAUAUCAGGAGGAACACCUGCGGUGUAGACGCUUUCUGGACCAUUGCUGACGCUGAGACACGAAAGCGUGGGUAGCAAACAGG
rnacentral:rRNA from 1 species